AUAUGAUAAAUAUAUUAUCUAUCAUUAUAAUUUUGAAAUUUAAAUUGAAUGGUUUUGCACUUUUUACUGGUGUAUAAACAUAUAAGAAGUGUUAUCUCUUAGCAGGUAGCCUGGUAAUUUUCUUAUGUGGAUUUUAAAAAUGUUAUAAACAUUCGUUGUUCUUUAAAAACUCAUAUUAUCAUUAUUCAUUACAGUUGAUUUGUGGAAUAAUAAAUUGAUAAAUGGACGUGCCGAAGGAGGCAAGUAUUUGAAUUCGAUCUUUGUGUACAAAAACUAUUUUUGAUAGAAUAUUAGGUAUACAUUGUUUAUACUUACUACUCUUAUAUUAUACUACAUAUCAUAAGCAGCAAAAUAUGAAAAAAUUGUAUAAUAAUAUAUUAGUUAUAAAUCAACGAUUUCAGCAGAAUCCGAGGAUCACAUCUUGAAUUUAUCUGUUACUUUUACUGUCCCAAUUUAAAGUAACAGGCCCACUACAUUGGAUGAGUGAUUUAUAUUUAUGUCAAUGUUUUGACUAUACUUCAAUUCCCCUCAAAUUGGCCAACACAUGAUGUAUUCCUUGCAUUGGGGUGAAAUCAGGAAUUGUAAAAUAACUGAACUAUUAUAAUUUAGAUUUAUUCAAUACAAAGGACUGGGAAGAAAGAUAUAUGAGAUUCAGUAAGUAUAUAUUAAUUAUUUAUAUUAUUGAAUAUGAAUAUUUAAUACGAUAGCUAGGUACCCUUUAUGAACAAUAUGAUAAAAUAUUUUAUAUACUAAAUAAGUAAUCGGUUUCAUUGAGUAAAAACAACUGCAAAAAAAUUUUGAAAUUAAACUACUCCGAUAUCUUAAAACUCAGUUAACUACAAAGAGAGUCUUAUCCCUCCUACACUCUUUUCGUUUAAAAUUAUAUUUUAUUUUAUUUUAAUAUUUUAUGACUCAUUGAAAUAAUGUCAAUAUAAUAUUAUACAUAUAGUUACUUUUUGUGCCACUCGAAUUAUUUUCUGGUAACGUUAUCACAAUUGUCACAGAAUUAAUAUAGUAAUCAGUUGAAAAUUCAUGUUAUGAGGUUGUUGGAAAACAUACGUUGCAUAAUAGCAUACAAUUUCGGAAUGCAGUCGGUUGCCACUCUCACUGGUCGAUAGUCGUGAAAUAAAACUGCAACAGUUAUAAUAACGUUCACUAUAGUCAUAAACUUGCUCAAUCAAACUAUUCCUGAUCACCCGCGUACAUUCUAUGAUAAAGAAUAAGUAUCAAUGUGUACCAGUAAUUACCACAAAAGCUCAGGGUGAGCAAGGGUGACAAGGAUAUAUUAUGGUCUACAUAUUAUACAAAGUAUAAUAUGACGCAAUCAUUCAAUGGAAAAUUAAUUGACAAAGAAUAAGGAAUACGUCCCGCCGACGAAUAAGUCUCAGCGAUAUCCAAAAGGGGAAGAGCAACCGAUACCGAUAGCAACGAACGAUGCCAGGUGACUCUAUCACACAACCAGCGAUCAGAUGUCUAUCGGCGUGACUAAACGAAAACAACACCGACACUAGAAAACAACAACCGUUUUCAACUAUAAUAGUGACCAGCGGCGCACGAGCAGGCCGACGACAACCAGCGUUUAAGCCGCGAAAAGGCCGCGGUGCCACCAAGUCACUCCAACCUCGACUAAACACGGACCUGCGACGACGGAUCCAUUCAUGGAUUAACAGACCCUCGCCGAUAUCAGACCUUGGCGGGCAGGAAGUCCGCGAGCAAUAACCAAUCACAGCGACUCAGUGCGCGGACCAUUAUGCCUAAAAUGAGAGUGUGGAGCACAAAAUCGCUCAGUUGUCUAUCUGACCUUAACGUAGCAAGUUCCGACUAGGACAGACUUACGCGGUUAAUAAACAAAUACACUCCGUUGCUAACGUCCAAACCAAACUAAGCAGAAGGAUUCAGAUGGUUCACUGAAUUUCAUUUCUUUUGGGAACAGUUAGCUAACAGUCGAGGUGCACAGGGUUUGGUUCCAGUUAGUGAGGCCAAACUAGAUGGUUAGGUAAAGGGCCGGACUGUGUCUACAGGGAAAAUAAAAAUAAUCAGCCAACUUCAGCAUUUCUUCUUUUGUAAAUUAAACAUAUGUUUAGACUCCUGAAUAAACAUUUAUACACAUGAAAUAAUUUUUUAUAUUUCUAAAUUAGAAUUGUAAGAGCUUUCUUUUAGUUCUAACAGCUGUUACUUCUUAAAGUAAUGUUUUAUGGUUCAGAUCUCAAGUUAGUUAUGCUAUUGUCUUGAUUUACUAUAUGCCCAACUUAUUUUGUAAAUGCUUCUUUUGGAAUUUUUCUAUUGAAUCUCCAAGGUUGUAAAAAAGCACAAUCGGUUAGAAAUUCACUGCCACUUAAACUUCUUAUUUCCAUACUAUUGAUUAGUUUAUCAAAUAUAACAUUAUACACAUCGACAACAAACUUUCGAUAAGCAGUAGGUUGUAUGUAUUCUUCAAUAGAAUCUCCAUCCAUAAUAAUUUUUAUUGUUAAUUUUAAUUUUCCGGAAAAUUAUCUUGAACAGUUAUUUCAAUAUUUUCAUGCUCGAAAUAAUUAUUGGCCCAAUUGGAAAAAUGUUUUCACUUUUUCUGCUUCAACAACUAAACGGGGACUUUUCUAAAGUAAUUUCUACCAUUUUACGUGCUUGAAGAACAUCCGUAUUCUGAGUUAAAUAUGUUAGCAAGUGCAGUGGUGUGCUCAAAAUUAUUUUUUGGGGUGGUUCACGUGCUUCUGUGCACCAUACCACGAGCCCUUAACAGAUAAACCCUAAAAAGAAACGUCCCUAUGAGUACAGGCGUGACGAAUAACCGGUAGUGUAUACUUUGCCGAUGCCAGAGCCGAGGCUUACCUCAGUGCGAGGCAAAGUGCUAGACGGGAAGCACUGAAUAUUCAAUAUUGUGGUCUCUAUGUUUGUUCGGUGAGAACUUGUUUUUCUAGGUCAUAUUUCAUGGUAUCUUGUUGGCCAGUUCAUUGGUUGGUCGUUGAAAAUGUUUGAUUUGUUGUUAUACAAUCUUUUUUAAUAAAAGGUAAGAACGUAAGGUUGAUAGAAAAAUAGUGUAUAUUUUAAUACAAUGUAAAUAUUCGUUAUAAUUUCAAACAUUUUAUUAUCAUUAUUCAUUACAGGUGAAAUGGAUGAUGCAAAAUUAAAAGAGAAGUUCGAUGGCGGUAAAUAUUUAGUUUCGAUCUUAGUUUAUUAAAUCUAUUUUUGAUAGUAUAUCAUUCAUUGGUUAUACUUACUACUCUUAUAUUCUACUACAUAUCUGGAUCAGUAAAAUAUAAAAACUAUACAUAAUAUAAUAUGUGCCACAGUCAAAUGUUCAUCGGGGCUACAUUAGUUCACACAGAGAAUACUACCGACGCUGAUUUGCCCGUGGACAAGAUACACUAAAACUAUGAACACCAAGAUGACUAGAUAGUACUAUAGGUUAUAUGUACCAGUAUAUUGUGAGCUGUAAUAAGAAAAUCGAAGAAGGUGCAGUUAAAAUUGAGCCUGUAGAGUUUUGUUUAACAUUGCAUGAGAAUAGUUAAAUAAUACACUUAUCAUAAUAAAGUUAUCUAAAUUUAUUUCUGGUAAUUAAAUGUGAGUGAAUUCUUACUUUAUUAGAAAAGAUGUUUUCAUGUAGUUAUACUUAAUCAAUAUUUAAUAUAAUGCGUAUUUAUUAUAGAUUUAUCUAUAAUAAUAUUUCUAAUUAAAUGUACUAAUAACAUCGUUUUAUUCGAUAGAGCAUGAUUUUUCCAUAUUGUGUUAUGUAGUUAGUAACGCCACACUAUCAUUGAACUUCUUCAUUUUUUUAAUACGUGCACAUGUUAUUAUUACUUUAAAUUUCACAAUUAGUAGAUUAAUAAAACUAAAUGUUAUAUGGUCGAGUUUUACUCCUGGGUAGUUACUCUUCUCAAGUGUGCAACUCCAAUAUAUCUUUAUGUGCAUAUUAUGCUUACUGUAAAAAUAUUAUCGACCGUAAAAUAUUUACUCAGGUAAAUUAAUAAUAUUUAUAAUCAUUUGUACGUAUUGUGUAAAUUAAUGCUUAAUAAAGUCAUAUCUACUAAAUGUAAUACUUUUGCAUUUUGUCAUUUAGUCUGUUAAUAUAUUCUCCUUUUCUAUAUUGUGUUCUGAUUUUUCCUUAGCUCUUCAAUUCUGCUUUAAAUAUAUUUAUUUGUUAACGUUGUUACUGCAGAUUCUGCAAUUAUUGUGAUUGUCGGCAACGACUAGCGAAUUGUAUUGAGUACGAGAGCUGGAGGGAUUACCCAAACAAAUGAAUACAUUUAAAUUUCAUUAGAAUACAAUUUUUUCAGCGCCAAGCCCAUAAUAUAUAUAUAUGAAUUGCACAGCUAAGACUUGAGACGAUGUUAAGCCUCGUGAUCUCUCGAAGUAUUGCAUCGGUACAUAAGAGCAGCGAACGAACACAACACUUGAGAAAAGACAGUUCGAAACCUGUAUGCCAACGGGAUGGCUAGUAACCUUCGAUAUCCGCAAAACCGUUCCGGAUUCGGACAGUAUUAUAGAUUGGAUUUCCAUGAGUGCAUCAAUAAAAAUAUUUAUACGUUUUAAUUAUUAUUUUAUUAAUAACUUCAUUCGUUUCAAUAACAGUUUUUAGUAAUUUAGGGUGGACAUAGUUGAUAGAAUAUUUCAUAAGAGCCGUAUCUGACAUAGAGCAUUUAUUUACGUUUUCUCCCUGAAUUCGGAAUGUAAAAGUUUAGAAUCGUAUGUAAUAAUAUGAAGAUGGUACAACGUCGUUUAUUCCUUUACACCUGGGGCCUAGUUCUGCAGAGGGUAUAACUGUUAACAGAAGGGUUAUAUAUAUGUUUUUUUUUAACAGACAAAAUUGAUUGUUUAACCCUUUCAAAUUUAUUAAAAAAUCCUUUGCAAUCUUUGAACUUAAAAAUUGAAAACAUUAGAGGACAAUUCUACGAUGGAUCUGCCACAAUGCGUAGUUUUUAUUCUGGUACAGCAAACGAAUACAAGAUGAAGCUUUGUAUAUCCAUUCUUAUUCACUUAUAUAUAAUUUGUGAGUAGUUGAUGUUUGUGGAAAAGUAUUAUGAUAUAAGUAAUUAUCAUUAUAUUUUCAUCCCUUUUCCUAGGGUGCUCAUUGCUCUUACCAGCUUGACAAGCCUUUUUUUGUUUGUGUUUAUUUCUCCAUGCAUCGUAUAUUCUGCGAGUUCUUCGUUGUGGUAAGGCUAGGUGGUCGUUGUGUUCGGGUUGUAAUUAUUUUUUUGUUUUUAUAUCCAUCCCCGGCGCUACUCGUGUAGAAUGCAAUCCGCCAUGAAAUGUAUCACAUUUAAGUUG